rnacentral:rRNA from 1 species
ACCCGCUGAACUUAAGCAUAUCAAUAAGCGGAGGAAAAGAAACCAACAGGGAUUGCCUCAGUAACGGCGAGUGAAGCGGCAACAGCUCAAAUUUGAAAUCUGGAGCCUUCGGCUUCCGAGUUGUAAUUUGAAGAGGAUGUUUCGGUUGCGACCUGGGCCUAAGUUCCUUGGAACAGGACGUCAUGGAGGGUGAGAAUCCCGUACAUGGCUGCAGGUUUGCUUCCAUGUGAAACUCCUUCGAAGAGUCGAGUUGUUUGGGAAUGCAGCUCAAAAUGGGUGGUAAAUUUCAUCUAAAGCUAAAUAUUGGCGGGAGACCGAUAGCGCACAAGUAGAGUGAUCGAAAGAUGAAAAGCACUUUGAAAAGAGAGUUAAACAGUACGUGAAAUUGUUGAAAGGGAAGCGCUUGCAAUCAGACUCGCUUUCGGUUGAUCAACGUUCCUUCUGGUUCGUGCACUCUGCCGUUUGCGGGCCAGCAUCAGUUGGGGCGGUGGGACAAAGUCGGUGGGAAUGUGGCUCCCCUCGGGGAGUGUUAUAGCCUGCCGUGCCAUGCCACCAGUCCCGAUUGAGGUCCGCGGUUCUGCCUAGGAUGCUGGCUUAAUGGUUGUAAGCGACCCGUCUUGAAACACGG